UACGGAGGGUGCAAGCGUUAUCCGGAUUUAUUGGGUUUAAAGGGUGCGCAGGCGGUAAGAUAAGUCAGUGGUGAAAUGCUGCAGCUUAACUGUAGAUGUGCCAUUGAAACUGUCGUACUUGAGUUAUCCUGAGGUAGGCGGAAUGUGUAGUGUAGCGGUGAAAUGCUUAGAUAUUACACAGAACACCGAUUGCGGAGGCAGCUUACCAAGGGUCGACUGACGCUCAGGCACGAAAGCGUGGGGAUCGAACAGG
rnacentral:rRNA from 1 species